rnacentral:rRNA from 1 species
GACGAACGCUGGCGGCGUGCUUAACACAUGCAAGUCGAACGAUGAGGCCGGAGCUUGCUCUGGUGAAUUAGUGGCGAACGGGUGAGUAACACGUGAGUAACCUGCCCUUGACUCUGGGAUAACUGCGGGAAACUGUAGCUAAUACCGGAUACGACCAUCGGAGGCAUCUCCUGGGGGUGGAAAGAAUUUCGGUCAAGGAUGGACUCGCGGCCUAUCAGCUGGUUGGUGAGGUAAAGGCUCACCAAGGCGACGACGGGUAGCCGGCCUGAGAGGGUGACCGGGCACACUGGGACUGAGACACGGCCCAGACUCCUACGGGAGGCAGCAGUGGGGAAUAUUGCACAAUGGGCGCAAGCCUGAUGCAGCAACGCCGCGUGAGGGAUGACGGCCUUCGGGUUGUAAACCUCUUUUAGCAGGGAAGAAGCGAAAGUGACGGUACCUGCAGAAAAAGCACCGGCUAACUACGUGCCAGCCGCCGCAGUAA